rnacentral:rRNA from 1 species
UAAUAUCGCAUUUAUUUGACGAAGGCUCCAAAGGAAGCCACGGCAAACUCUGUGCCAGCAGCCGCGGUAAUACAGAGGUGGCAAGCGUUGUUCGGAAUUAUUGGGCGUAAAGAGCACGUAGGUGGGUUUGUAAGUCAGAUGUGAAAGCCUUCUGUUCAACGGAAGAAUUGCAUCUGAAACUGCAGGUCUUGAGUGUAGGAGGGGAGAGUGGAAC